rnacentral:rRNA from 1 species
GCUUGUCUCAAAGAUUAAGCCAUGCAUGUCUAAGUAUAAACAAAUCUAUACUGUGAAACUGCGAAUGGCUCAUUAUAUCAGUUAUAGUUUCUUUGAUGGUUCUUACUACUUGGAUAACCGUAGUAAUUCUAGAGCUAAUACAUGCAUGAAACCCCGACUUUUGAAGGGGUGUAUUUAUUAGAUUGAAACCAAUGCGGGUUCCCCGGUAUUUGGUGAUUCAUAAUAACUUUCGGAUCGACUUCGGUCGAUGCAUCAUUCAAGUUUCUGCCCUAUCAGCUUUGGAUGGUAGGGUAUUGGCCUACCAUGGCUUUAACGGGUAACGGAGAAUUAGGGUUCGAUUCCGGAGAGGGAGCCUGAGAAAUGGCUACCACAUCCAAGGAAGGCAGCAGG